rnacentral:tRNA from 1 species
CGAGCCGUUAGUGUAGCAGGGCAUACUCUGGAGAACCCCAGAGAAGCGGAGUGUUCGAAUCCUCCCGGCUCGA